GCCACUGCUAUUGGGGUUCGGCUAAGCCAUGCGAGUGGAGGGCGUCCCGCAAGGGAUGGCCCCGCAGACGGCCCAGUAACACGUCGUCAACCCACCUUAGGGUGGGGGACAACCUCGGGAAACUGAGGAUAAUCCCCCAUAGGCGGGGGAGGCUGGAAUGCGCCCCCGCUGAAAGCUCAGGCGCCCUAGGACGGGACGGCGGCCUAAUCAGGUAGUUGGUGGUGUGACG
rnacentral:rRNA from 1 species